GCCCAAGACCACAAUUAAUGACCCCACUUUUUGUUGUUCACGAAUAUAGUUCCCUUUAAUUAAAGUGUAUUUUUUCUUAAUUUUUUUUCUUUGCCUUUCUCAUUGAUUUCUUAGUUUUUAUGGGGUGGAAGUGAAAGAAGAGAGGUAAAAUAAAUUUUUGGAUGUUGUAUUUAAACUGAUUUUGAUAUGGAAAGAGUGAUUAGGCCAAGUGCAAAAAGGUAAUAUUUACAGUUUUCGGAACAUCUCUUGACUUGUCGAUAGGGGUAUGGCUGUGUAGUGGCUAAAUUUGUAAGAGUCAUUGGUUCAAUCUUUCUGAAUUUUGGAUAUAUUUUUGGACUAGUACUAUACAUUACACACACAAAAGAUUUGACAAAAAUGCAAGGGCAGUGAUCUGGUAUGUGGACAAGUACGAUGAACGACUCCACCAGUUAAGUGCAGCAUCACCUUUGCAGACAAUGGAAUAUUCCGGACACAGGGUGCAGUCACUAUCAUAGCAGCGAAGAGUUGCCUCGAGCACUUUUGGUCAGCUUGCGAGCGAAGAGUACAGAUGUUACCAGUCGUCUCUAUUUUGCAGUCAGAAGAUUGAAAAGUUUGCCGCACAUGGGAAGUACAUG